rfam:Blautia sp. CAG:37, WGS project CBJJ01000000 data, contig: 316
GCUGAUGUGGCUCAGUCGGUAGAGCGUCGCCUUGGUAAGGCGGAGGUCACGGGUUCGAUUCCCGUCAUCAGCU